CAAUAGCGUAUAUUAAAGUUGUUGCAGUUAAAAAGCUCGUAGUUGGAUUUCUGGUAGGAGCGACCGUGCCGAACUUGAUUGUUCGAGUAUUGUGUUGUCUUCAGCCAUCCUCGUGGAGAACUUUUCUAACAUUAACUUGUUGGGAUUGGGACCCGCGUCGUUUACUGUGAAAAAAUUAGAGUGUUUAAAGCAGGCAUUAGCUUGAAUACAUUAGCAUGGAAUAAUAAGAUAGGACUUUGGUACUAUUUUGUUGGUCUGCACACCAAAUUAAUGAUCAACAGGAACAGUUUGAGGAUAUUCGUAUGAACAUGUCAGAGGUGAAAUUCUUGGAUUUUGAUCAGACGAACUACUGCGAAAGCAUUUAUCAAGGAUGUUUUCAUUAA
rnacentral:rRNA from 1 species